UGGAAUCCAGUUUCUACAUCCGUCGCCGCCGCCCAUGGUCGGGCUCUCUCUCCGCCGCACGCGCUGCUCCCCGCAGCCGGCCAGGUGCUCUCCAGCCGGUGAGACCGCCGCAGCCUCUCUCCCCCCACCGGCCUGUCCACCGCCGACCCCACUCCACACAGCCGCCGGUGGAACCCUACUCCAUACUGCCGCCGCCUCCACUGGCAGGAGCUUUCUCCGCUGCCCCCUCCGUCUGCAGGUAUUCUCCCCUCCUAUCUGUUUGCCCUUCCCUUCACCGCCGCUCACCGCACUGCCCUACACGCACAGAUGGUCUUGCCGUUGCCGUCCAAACCCUACCGGCGGUUGCCCUUUUUGUCCGUGCCCAAGCUUAUCUAUCUCCUGGAGGUGCCGCCGGCAAGAAGGUAAUGCUCCAAGAUGCCUCUUCCAAGAUGACGGUGGGUCUUUAGCACCUCUGGUGUUUUUUCGGAGUGAGACAACGAUUUCUCUUCUGAAGAAUUGUUUUUUCCUUUCACAUGUGCAUGCUUAUGUUAUUUGCGGAUGUUGAAAGCUAAUUUAUGCAUGAGCACACCUUCUGCAUAGUUGUUAUGCAUGAGCACACCUUCUGCAUAGUUGUUAUGCAUGAGCACACCUUCUGCAUAGUGGUCAAUUUGGUUGACCUUGAUUGUCAAAAGAAAUUUGCUUAGUGGAUUGUCAUAAGUAACUUGUGUAGUGCUGAAACUUGGAACAUAGAACUUAGCUAUAAAUCUUAACUAUGAUGGUACUUUGGGGAAAAUUGCACAUUGUUACUGAUUUUAGUGACUUAUUUAUUGCUCUGAACCUUGGUUUGUCACCAUAGUUUAGACUCUUGAGUGUUGUUCUGGCUUUGAAAAGUGGGAUCCUAGAGAGGCUAGUCUGUGCAAUAUAUGAAAAUGCUAAUGAUGUCCUGUGAGAAGUUGAGAUCAUGUACAAGAACAAUAAUUAUGUGUGUAGCAAUGAUACAUUCGGAGGCAAAGCAAGACUUGAGAUUCUGGUUCAGUUUCACCUCUUGCCUCUGCACAUAAAUUAAGAUACAAAUUGAGCACAGCACCUUUAGUUCCUAGUUGUCAUCAUAAAAGUACUGAACCUGACAUCUACAAAAAUAUAUUCCUUGCAUAAUCUCUUGCUUUUUCUUGAUGAGCACUAACCAGGAAUACCACUGACCAGCGGGAUUCGAACGAUGUGUGGAUUUCCAAAAAGGUUUUCUUAUAGUGAUAUAUACCGUUUGAUAUUGAUUUCAUGAAUUCCUGCUAACUUUGUUGUUUUCUAUGAAGUUCAGUUCCCGCAACACCUAUUUCGUUUCCUGUGAUCCACAUGUGAGGCAUAGAAAGGGUUCAAUUUUAUAUAGUUUAUGAGAUGAAAGGGGAAGGGACUGUUAGUUAAGAACAAUUGUAUAUUAAAUGACAGUUAAACAUUUGGAUUUAAGCAAUAGAUCAACAGAGCAUUUUUCUGCAGUUUAAUAACGCUAUAAGAUAAAGAUUCUUCUAAAUGGUUGAAAUUAAUUUUUACUUGAAUGAUGUGCUAAAAUCAACCUCUAUACACCCAGGCACCAUUUUUGUACAGAAUAUAUAUGAUGCUUGCUCCGUGAAUGACUAUCUUGUUGCACGCAUGUCUCCGAAUAAAAUGCAAGGGGUUAGAAACACAUGCAGCACUUCGUAAAUGGUUCCUUAUUCCUGAUCUUUUUAUUGCGCACAGAUCUUACAACUUUUUGGUGCACCACUAUUAGAGGUCUGACCUACAGAAGUCUCCACGGUAAAUAAAGUCUGCCGCCUACCUCGCAGCCUGCUCCUUUCAUAGGAAUCAUUGUGUUGUCUUCAUACUUCACAGGUUUUGUGCUAGCCGUGAAAUGUUUUUGGCCACAUAACUUAUUCAACUAGGUACCUCCGCUGCUCUGCGACCACGAGAAGCUCCAUGCCUUGGUGAGGUCGGUCCCUAUUUUUAGGACUAGGUGGUGUGCUAUGAUUCCCGCUUCCUACUGAUUUGUCCACUUUUUCUCUGUCCUACUCCUCUCUUUUGAUUUAAUCCCCUGAAUCUCUAAUCUUUGUUUGUGCAGAUUCUCUCUUACCUAUGCCUACAAGGUGUUUGAUGAAAAUCCAAGCAAGCUGCAAAGAAUAUUCAUCUAUGUAAUAUCUAAGUUCUGUUGUCUCUGCUUAAUAACUUUUGUCUGAAAUUUAGUUGCAUUCAAUGAUUACUUCCUCUCAUGCCAAUGCGGCAAUAUCUCUCAUCUGAAUUCUCAUUUGUCUUUGCCAGUUACAUAGUGCCUUACGUGCUACCUAGAUAUUGGAGUAGCAUAUUAUCUGCGAAAAUGCUUUUCUUUUUUACAGUCAUUUGUAUGCCACAUCUGGUAGCGUUGGUCCUUUCUAAAGGCCAAUAUGAAAGGGCAACUUAUAUAUGUCAAAUCGCAUGGGUACUUUACUUGGUACUUUCAGGUUUUGAUAUUACUCUAUCACUAGAAUUUCCUUUCGAACAUUGCAAUUAGCUUUUAUCAUAGCAUUGUAAGUAUUGAGAAAUUUGUUCAUCAUACCUCCUAGGUAAACUGGAAGUAUUGUACUAGUCAGCAGGAACCGUGUUCCAAUUGCAUCCUGGGGAUUUUCAUCCUUGUUCUAGCUUCAUUUAAUAAUGUUUGAUGUUGCAGAUAUAGAAUAAUGUUUACGCUUACCUCACCAUAUACCAAUUUGGUUGUUUACUAAUGUUGCAUCUGUAACAUGUCCUAUUUUUCCAUAGUUUGUUUGUUAUGGGAAAUUGGUGAUGAUCUGGUAAGGAAAGAAAUCUUCAAGUCUCGGGUUUUUCUACAACCAUUCCCCCAUGGUGGUAACCUCUCCCAGCGAAUCAUAAUGUAAACUGACUCGGAUCAGGUGUAAAUUUAUUCUUUUUUCUGCUGUAAAAAAAAACUUUCCACUGAAGUACACUAAAGUGCAGCAUCCAAUAAACAGACUUAAUGAUAUUCUAUUUGAAUAAUUAAUAUAUCAUGUUCUUGGACUUCUGUCAUGAGUGCCUUAUAGAUGUGCACCAUGCCAUAAGUACAAGCAGCAUGCGUACGUGCAUGGAGUCAUUUAACGCGAGGAAUAGGAGAGAAAAAAGCAGGUCCGCAAUGAAAAGCGGCAUGGCAAGGCACGCGUGUACUUCUAGUGGUUACCUAUACUUGAAUGGAGUGCCUUCUUGUGUAGGUGUUUCGGUACUAGCUUACCUUGCGAAGUAAUAAUUUUCGUCAAUGCUAUGCCUUAUACAAGUUUUAUGCUGCCAUUGUCUUAUUUUGCAGGAAAGGCAUGCAAGAGGGCAAGGAACCCUGAAGCUGGUGGUCCGGGAUCCUUUGUUUAAUGGUGACUGAAUCGUUGGAGAUGCAUUUUACCAUCAUUUUGUAAACCCGCAUUGUGUUUGAGACAAUGAACCAUAUGUUUUCUCUUUAAUUAGUUACAUUAGUUUAUGGGAAAAUUUGGAUGGUCGUUAUGUUAAUAAUGAAUGAACUAUUUAUAUGUGAAAUUAAUUAAUAUUUGUUUUUAUUGUCUGGUUAUGGUUCAUUAUUGUUGGAGGAGUUGCAUGUUAUUGUUAUGAAAUAACUUGAUUGAUAUUCUGUUGGUAAUGCAAAUGUAUGC
rnacentral:lncRNA from 1 species